rnacentral:ncRNA from 1 species
UACAACUUUUUCAGUGACAGAAGGAAUGAUUGAGUAACGCCUUGAAACUUCUGCGGUAAUACGCCCUAACCUCAAGUCGCAGCAACGGCUUGGGCGACCAUAGCUGGGUAACGUAUGCAUGAAAGUAACCCGAAGUACCUCUCAUGAGGUAACCGAAAGCCAAAGGGAGUAAUAA